AUACUUACCUGGCAGACAAGAUAACAUGAUCUCAAAUGUGGUUUUCACAGGAUAAGGCUUAUCCAUCGCACUCCAGAUGUGCUGACCCCUGUGAUUUUCCCAAAUGUGUGAAACUCAACUGCAUGAUUUGUGUUAGUGUGGGACUGCUUUCAUGCUUUCUCAUA
rnacentral:snRNA from 1 species